GACGAACGCUGGCGGCGUGCUUAACACAUGCAAGUCGAACGAACAGGCCCUGCUUUUGUUGGUUGCUCGAGUGGCGAACGGGUGAGUAACACGUGAGUAACCUGCCCUUGACUUUGGGAUAACUUCAGGAAACUGGGGCGAAUACCGGAUAGGAGCUCCUGCUGCAUGGUGUGGGUUGGAAAGUUUCGGCGGUUGGGGCUGGUCUCGAGGCUUAUCAGCUUGUUGGUGGGGUAGUGGCUUACCAAGGCUUUGACGGGUAGCCGGCCUGAGAGGGUGACCGGCCACAAUGGGACUGAGAGACGGACCAGAAUGCUACGGGAGGCAGCAGUGGGGAAUAUUGCACAAUGGGCGGAAGCCUGAGGCAGAAACGCCGCGUGCGGGAUGACGGCCUUCGGGUUGUAAACCGCUUUCGCCUGUGACGAAGCGUGAGUGACGGUAAUGGGUAAAGAAGCACCGGCUAACUACGUG
rnacentral:rRNA from 1 species